CUUCUUAAUUUUUAUGAGUUAGCCCAAGCGCCCGUUUUUGUUGGAUAGUUCUGACUCCAUCUUUGGUCUUCUGAACCUCCCCAUUUGAUGCCCUAGUCCCCCUGACCGUGGACCGUGGUCCUUAUUCAUCCACCGGUCAUCGCCGUCUUCAUCUUCUCCGGCAACUCUCAGGAGGAAAGAUCCCUCAUCAUCUUCUGUCUUCCGGUCUUCCCCCAUCAUCGACUCCAAUAUUCCAUCUUCCCCCAUCUGCCAUCGUCGACGCGGCAAUGCCAGUCUUCCAUCUUCCCUCAUCGGCCAUCACCGAUGCUGGUCUUCCCGUCUUCGCCCGUUGCCAUCGCCGUUCGCCAUUUCAGGUAUGGCAUCAGAAGACAGACGGCGAUGUUCGCGUUCGCAGUCUAUCCUGGAAGCUGAGGUGCCUUCACUGAUUUUCACUGCACACCAGCUCUGUCACCAGAGGGUCCUGCACUGACAUGUCCCAGUGAGGCGGGUCCGAGUGAGGCGAAUCCGAGUGAGACAGACCAGUCUCCACCAGUGGUGAGGCGAGGGCAAGGUCCAUCGAAGAAUCUCGCUUUAGAGCGUUAGAGACGCAAGCACCUGGGAUAGCAUCUCCGUAUAGAGACACCAUCCAGCUAUACCAGGCCCAUUAGGGGAUGAUACAAGCCGUGGCAGAUUGAGUUGGGCAUCAUAUGCCGCAGCUGUCUCUGUGAUGCUUUUCGAUUGGUGUCACGUUGUACUGAUUUAGAGAGAGAUUUUUUACAUCUAGUUACAGAUAAAAUAAAUUAUAUUGUGAAUAUUUAAUUAGCACGGUAUUCUUCUAAUAUUUGUUAUUAGGAGGGUGUAUUUGAUAUUAUUGAUUUCGAGGAUUGCGUACGGCGAGCUAUGGAUGCUCAUUUAUCUUUGCGUUUCAAGGAGUAUCGUCAUCGCAUCCAUUAGCAUUGGUACCAUGUGAUGCAGGAUCAUAGGGUGGAGGCAGUGCGACAGUGGUCCUAUGACAGCAUCACUAUGGAUGAUUGGGCUCUCAUAUACCGACAUUAUGAGGAUCCGGCAUAUCAGGGCAGCGAUGCUUAUUGUAGAGCACAUCGACAAAUCAGCAUCAUCUGCAGCAUAUGCAACUACAUUGAGUCUUGGGCUUUUACUGAGCUUAUGGUACCAUAGCAUUAUGACCAAGGGAUUAUGCAGUUGGAGUCAUCACCACUCAGUAGUUUGCAAUGAGUAGAUAUACUCAAGAGUAUAGAUAGAUUAGCAGCACUACAUAUAAGUAUAGAAGAUGAGGUAGAGAUGUGACUUACAGAUAGAGGAGCCGAGAUAGAGCUAUCAAACAGAGAUAGUGACAUUGAAAAUUCAGGUUGAUCAGAUGAUAUCUUUUUUAUAGAAUUUUGCACCACACCAGGAUCCUGAUACUUCCAACAGUCGCUGAGAUGAUGAUGAUACCAUACACAAAUGAUUGCCCUCUCUUUUUUUGAUGUUUUAUAUAUGAUAUAUCUUUUUGUAUUUUCUUUAUAAUUUCUUUCAAUCGUAGUGGGCAUUCAUUUGUCUUAUAUAAUGUAAAAACUUGUCAUUUUGAUAUGCAAUACAAAUGUUAUUUUUUGUGACCUAUUGUUGUAUAAGUCAGUAAGUGAAAUGACAUUGAGUGGGCUGGUGAUAACACUGUACUUUACUUAACUAUGGGUUUGAUGUAUUAGUUUGUGGUGGCACUAUGAAAACUGGUCUGUGCUUUGAUGUGAUCAGCUCUUAUCUUCAUUAAUCAUAUUGUUGUUACUCUUUGUGC